CCUUAGAGUUUGAUCCUGGCUCAGGAUGAACGCUGGCGGCGUGCUUAACACAUGCAAGUCGAACGGGGUACCCCCAAAGGAGUUUUCGGACAACUGCGGGGAAUACCUAGUGGCGGACGGGUGAGUAACGCGUGAGUAACCUGCCUUGGAGUGGGGAAUAACAGCUGGAAACAGCUGCUAAUACCGCAUAAUGCAGUUGGGUCGCAUGGCUCUGACUGCCAAAGAUUUAUCGCUCUGAGAUGGACUCGCGUCUGAUUAGCUAGUUGGUGGGGCAACGGCCCACCAAGGCGACGAUCAGUAGCCGGACUGAGAGGUUGGCCGGCCACAUUGGGACUGAGACACGGCCCAGACUCCUACGGGAGGCAGCAGUGGGGAAUAUUGGGCAAUGGGCGCAAGCCUGACCCAGCAACGCCGCGUGAAGGAAGAAGGCUUUCGGGUUGUAAACUUCUUUUCUCAGGGACGAAGCAAGUGACGGUACCUGAGGAAUAAGCCACGGCUAACUACGUGCCAGCAGCCGCGGUAAUACGUAGGUGGCAAGCGUUAUCCGGAUUUACUGGGUGUAAAGGGCGUGUAGGCGGGAAAGCAAGUCAGAUGUGAAAACCAUGGGCUCAACCUGUGGCCUGCAUUUGAAACUGUUUUUCUUGAGUACUGGAGAGGCAGACGGAAUUCCUAGUGUAGCGGUGAAAUGCGUAGAUAUUAGGAGGAACACCAGUGGCGAAGGCGGUCUGCUGGACAGCAACUGACGCUGAGGCGCGAAAGCGUGGGGAGCAAACAGGAUUAGAUACCCUGGUAGUCCACGCUGUAAACGAUGGAUACUAGGUGUGGGGGGACUGACCCCCUCCGUGCCGCAGCUAACGCAAUAAGUAUCCCACCUGGGGAGUACGAUCGCAAGGUUGAAACUCAAAGGAAUUGACGGGGGCCCGCACAAGCGGUGGAGUAUGUGGUUUAAUUCGAAGCAACGCGAAGAACCUUACCAGGGCUUGACAUCCUACUAACGAGGUAGAGAUACGUUAGGUGCCCUUCGGGGAAAGUAGAGACAGGUGGUGCAUGGUUGUCGUCAGCUCGUGUCGUGAGAUGUUGGGUUAAGUCCCGCAACGAGCGCAACCCUUAUUGUUAGUUGCUACGCAAGAGCACUCUAGCGAGACUGCCGUUGACAAAACGGAGGAAGGUGGGGACGACGUCAAAUCAUCAUGCCCCUUACGUCCUGGGCCACACACGUACUACAAUGGCGGCCAACAAAGAGAGGCGAGACCGCGAGGUGGAGCAAAUCUCAAAAAGCCGUCCCAGUUCGGAUCGCAGGCUGCAACCCGCCUGCGUGAAGUUGGAAUCGCUAGUAAUCGCGGAUCAGCAUGCCGCGGUGAAUGCGUUCCCGGGCCUUGUACACACCGCCCGUCA
rnacentral:rRNA from 1 species